GACGAACGCUGGCGGCGUGCUUAACACAUGCAAGUCGAACGGAAAGGCCCUGCUUUUGUGGGGUGCUCGAGUGGCGAACGGGUGAGUAACACGUGAGUAACCUGCCCUUGACUUUGGGAUAACUUCAGGAAACUGGGGCUAAUACCGGAUAGGAGCUCCUGCUGCAUGGUGGGGGUUGGAAAGUUUCGGCGGUUGGGGAUGGACUCGCGGCUUAUCAGCUUGUUGGUGGGGUAGUGGCUUACCAAGGCUUUGACGGGUAGCCGGCCUGAGAGGGUGACCGGCCACAUUGGGCCUGCGAUACGGCCCAGACUCCUACGGGAGGCAGCAGUGGGGAAUCUUGCACAAUGGGCGGAAGCCUGAUGCAGCAACGCCGCGUGCGGGAUGACGGCCUUCGGGUUGUAAACCGCUUUCGCCUGUGACGAAGCGUGAGUGACGGUAAUGGGUAAAGAAGCACCGGCUAACUACGUG
rnacentral:rRNA from 1 species